CAUCAUCAGUGGAUGCCUUUGCUGUCCGUAACCUGAGAUUUCAGAUUUGCAGCAAAAAAAAUUUGAUUUUCUCAUUUAUUGGAAUGCUGUGCAGGUAUUUGUACCUUGCAGCCAUCCAUUACAAUGUCACCAAGCCGUAACAAAAGCAGGAGAGGGAAAGUACAAGGCUAUGUUCCCAAAACACACAAGUGACAUACCUUAUGUGGAUGAUGUGAUCAGGCUUGUGUUUGAUGAGAUAUUUGAAGAUAAGCUGAAGGAAACCCCGAUUCCAAUGGACCUGGCAUCACAGUUUGAGAGACCUUCAAAGGAGGACGUGAUUGCAUGCCAUCUUCAGUGCAGGGGUCGUCGAAAGCCAAAAUUGUGACCGAUCUGAUCAGGAAGCUCCAAGCAUAUCUGGAGAACAACACACGACAGGAUGAUAACCUUAUAGUGUCGUCUUAAAUAGCACCAGCUGACAAAGCUUUGAUAUGCCAUUUAUCUGAAUAGAUAGCUGUAAGAAAUGAAUUGAACA